UACAGAGGUCUCAAGCGUUGUUCGGAUUCAUUGGGCGUAAAGGGUGCGUAGGCGGCGCGGUAAGUCGGGUGUGAAAUCUCGGGAGCUUAACUCCGAAACUGCAUUCGAUACUGCCGUGCUUGAGGACUGGAGAGGAGACUGGAAUUUACGGUGUAGCGGUGAAAUGCGUGGAUAUCGUAAGGAAGACCAGUGGCGAAGGCGGGUCGCUGGACAG
rnacentral:rRNA from 1 species